rnacentral:rRNA from 1 species
UACGGAGGGAGCUAGCGUUAUUCGGAAUUACUGGGCGUAAAGCGCACGUAGGCGGCUUUGUAAGUUAGAGGUGAAAGCCUGGAGCUCAACUCCAGAAUUGCCUUUAAGACUGCAUCGCUUGAAUCCAGGAGAGGUGAGUGGAAUUCCGAGUGUAGAGGUGAAAUUCGUAGAUAUUCGGAAGAAACACCAGUGGCGAAGGGCGGCUCACUGGAGCUGGUAUUGACGCUGAGGUGGCGAAAAGCGUGGGGAGCAAACAGG